AAAAAAGAAGAGAUCCUUUUGUUGUAAAAUAAACCAUCAGCUAUUCACCAUGGCGAUCAUUGUCAGCAUUGGAAGGCAUCCAGCUGUUUGUCCAGCAGUUAAAAACAAUGAAAGUACGCGUGCGAGUCCAAUUUCGUCAGCCUGCCAUAAAUUCUUGACGAGAUCCGGAAUUUCUAUAGUAUCUACUAUCGCGAUCACAUUAAUAAGCUUUUAAAAUUAUUAUUUAUUUAUUUAUAUGUUAUGCGCCUGUCAAAAAUAUUCGUGAACUUGUAUCUGUAACUGCUGUUGAGAUUCCCUAUUAAAAUUUACAACGAUUAUUAUUUGACGUAUGAUAAUUUUCAACGAGAAAGUAGAUAUCGCUGAUAUGAAAGCAAGCUAUAAGAAUAUCCGGAACUAAUAGAUUAAAUUACUAUGUAUAGUGGUACAUUUCUCCAUAGAGGUUAAAGGUUAUUUCGCCAGAAGUAAUGAUACCUUUGAGAAGAUACCAUCACGACUGACAUUUUGUUAUAGUUAAAACUGAUAAAACUGAUAACUGAAGGUCUACUUGAAAUAAUCAUAGCCAGCAGAAAUUUAAUUAUUAGUUUACCAUAAAACUUUUGUUGACAGUACAGUGUUACAUGCACCAACAUA